AACGACCGCUGGCGGCAGGCCUAAUACAUGCAAGUCGAACGCCGUAGCAAUACGGAGUGGCAGACGGGUGAGUAACGCGUGGGCAUCUUCCUAAUGGUACGGAAUAGCCCGGGGAAACCCGGAGUAAUACCGUAUACUCCCGUGAGGGGAAAGAUUUAGCGCCAUUAGAUGAGCCCGCGUCGGAUUAGCUAGUUGGUGGGGUAACGGCCUACCAAGGCAACGAUCCGUAGCUGGUCUGAGAGGAUGAUCAGCCACACUGGGACUGAGACACGGCCCAGACUCCUACGGGAGGCAGCAGUAGGGAAUAUUGGACGAUGGGCGAAAGCCUGAUCCAGCCAUGCCGCGUGAGUGAUGAAGGCCUUCGGGUUGCAAAGCUCUUUUGGCGGGGACGAUAAUGACGGUACCCGCAGAAUAAGCCCCGGCUAACUUCGUGCCAGCAGCCGCGGUAACAC
rnacentral:rRNA from 1 species